rnacentral:rRNA from 1 species
GAUGAACGCUGGCGGCGUGCCUAAUACAUGCAAGUCGAGCGAACAGACGAGGAGCUUGCUCCUCUGACGUUAGCGGCGGACGGGUGAGUAACACGUGGAUAACCUACCUAUAAGACUUGGAUAACUUCGGGAAACCGGAGCUAAUACCGGAUAAUAUAUUUAACCGCAUGGUUCAAUAGUGAAAGACGGUUUUGCUGUCACUUAUAGAUGGAUCCGCGCCGCAUUAGCUAGUUGGUAAGGUAACGGCUUACCAAGGCAACGAUGCGUAGCCGACCUGAGAGGGUGAUCGGCCACACUGGAACUGAGACACGGUCCAGACUCCUACGGGAGGCAGCAGUAGGGAAUCUUCCGCAAUGGGCGAAAGCUUGACGGAGCAACGCCGCGUGAGUGAUGAAGGUCUUCGGAUCGUAAAACUCUGUUAUUAGGGAAGAACAAAUGUGUAAGUAACUAUGCACGUCUUGACGGUACCUAAUCAGAAAGCCACGGCUAACUACGUG